rnacentral:rRNA from 1 species
AUACGUAGGGGGCGAGCGUUGUCCGGAAUGAUUGGGCGUAAAGGGCGCGUAGGCGGCGCGGUAAGUCUGGAGUGAAAGUCCUGCUUUCGAGGUGGGAAUUGCUUUGGAUACUGCCGCGCUUGAGGGCAGGAGAGGUUAUCGGAAUUCCCGGUGUAGCGGUGAAAUGCGUAGAGAUCGGGAGGAACACCAGUGGCGAAGGCGGGUAACUGGACUGCAACUGACGCUGAGGCGCGAAAGUGUGGGGAGCAAACAGGAUUAGAUACCCUGGUAGUCCACACUGUAAACGAUGAAUGCUAGGUGUAAGAGGUAUCGACCCCUUUUGUGCCGGAGUCAACACAAUAAGCAUUCCGCCUGGGGAGUACGGCCGCAAGGUUGAAACUCAAAGGAAUUGACGGGG